rnacentral:RNase_P_RNA from 1 species
GUGCUGGCGAGAGCCAGGGCGGGGUGACCCGCCGGAUCAGGGCAGCAGAGAACAGACCGCCGAUGGCGGAUCCGGGCAACCGGGACCGCACAGGUAAGGGUGAAACGGUGCGGUAAGAGCGCACCAGCGUCACGGGCGACCGUGGCGGCUCGGCAACCCCCUCCCGGAGCAAGGUCAUACAGGGGGAGCGGUCGGCCCGGCCGGCACUCCGGUGCAUCCCCCGGGUGGACCGCAAAGAUGGAUGGUCGCUGAGGCGGACCCCCGAAAGGGACCGCCAGACAGAAUCCCGCUUACAGAACCGCUCACCGU